rnacentral:lncRNA from 15 species
AUGAUAUGUUAUCCUAAGCCAAGCUGGGGUUGGCCGACUGGCUGUUGCUUGGCUGCACGGUGUGGGUCUGGCAUUGGUUGCUUCGUGGUGUUCGCUGAUAGGGUAAUUUGCAAACAACAAGCUAAUAUGAAGUUAAUGGUCCAAAUAAAAUAUAGGAACAUUGCGGAUAUUAACAGUUUUCUAAAUGUGAUUGCAAUUUAUCUUCCAGCAUUCCUUCUAGUGUAUGCCACUUUUGGCCAAUGCCCAGGACUGUGUAGGGGAAAGUGGGUGCUAAUAAUCUGCCUCUUGUGUGCUGAAAGUGGUCCCACGGAGAGAUGACACAGGGGAGAGGACAUGAACAUUUCCUCCAACACCAAUGGCACCAACACGGUAAAUGUCUUCCUGAUUUAGAAUCAAGAUACCAAGACAUUCUCUGCCAAGAAAAAACAACAAAAAAGAGUUAAAUAUGGAAUGCACCUAAUAAAAUUUUUAUCAAAAGCCAAAAGUUUAGAGCUAUACACAAACUGAUGUCAGCUGGUGUGUAAUGUUCUCUUCAACUAUGAUGGUUGAAUUCAUAUGGUACACAAACAUGAAAUUUAUCUGAUGUUGUUUUGCUGCUUUUAUGUUUUUAUGUAAAGUGUCUUUGAGUAUUUAGAAAAGCGCUUAUGAAUAAAAUGUAUUAUUAGUGUGCCUGAAAAGCCCACUACUAUUAUUGCUCAUACUUAUUAUUCUUCCGUAUCGUUUUUCGGUCUACUCCUCCCACAGUUUUGGUUGCACAUACACAAAAAAGGUAUCAAAACGUGCGGCUCGGCCGGGACAUUAGUGCUAUGGCUUUUCUUAAGCGUUUUGCCAAACAGUUUGCCGAUAAAUCGCCACAAACCAGGCCAAAAAAUUUAUGGGUGUGUAUUCUACAUAAAACACAUUUGGAUGGCCAGUCAAAAAACUUUUUUUCUCAGUUUCACUGUUAGUGUAGUUACUGCAGUUCUGCUUUGUAGGGCAGAAUACAUUAAUCAAACUAAGGUCCCAUUCAACAUCUGGACAGCAAACUACACAUUGAGUCUGGACCAAUGGUCUGGACCCUAACUUGAAAAUCAGGUUGAGGGUGGUGUUUCAAAAUAAAAGCCUACAACGUCACAACGUUCAUUGUAU